GCCGGGGAGGCUGCAGAACCCAUAAAAGGAGCAAAGGGGGUAUAAACUGACGUCGUCGUCAUGCUGGUCGCUGAUGCAGCUGUUUGGAUUAGGAAGAGAUUAGAGAGCGCAUGAACGAUGAGUUUGAUUCAGAGGACGAUCAGGAAAAGGCAGGAGAAGAAGCCGGAGCUGCCCAGUCAGGGCUCUUCAGGCCUGUCCCAGUGUGCCCAGUCAUCAUCCAUCCAGAGCUGGACCUUGAGACUGGAUUUGACCCCGGCCGUCCCCCCGUCCCGUCCGACCCAGACCCUCCAUCUGUUGACAGCAUGCUGUCCACCCACACUGUGUCCCCAGGUGAACACGUCCCCUCCAUGUCUCCCGAAGGCCCCCCCCCAACUAAUGUGUCCGGUGUGCCCUGUGCCAGCGAAUCUCUCCACCCAGAUGUGUUGCAGCCCAGCUUUGAAGUGAGCAGUCAGAGGUUGGAGGAGCCCACAGGGGGCGGUUCCUCCACGCAGCCGCCUGCUCCGGCCCCGGCUCCGUGGCCACGGCAGGCUCAGGUUGGCGGGGAGGAACGCCCCCCCUCCGAGGACUCGUACCUCCAAACCACCGACACGCAUCCACCGCCAGCAUUAGAACAGGAAGAAACCAGCGAAAACAAGCCAACCGGCUGCGCGUGCACGUCUGCCCCCAGCGUGACCUUUGACCUUGAGGUGGCAGAGGGAGCGAGCGGACCCUCGGCUGCGUGGCCAGAUGCUUCUGCCAGACGUGGUGACGCAGCUGUAUCUCCCGUGGCAGAAGAUCUGGCACGUGCGGGAUCGGAAGGUGAGACUCUGGUGACGCCCGACGUAGCGGACUACCAAACUCUGAGUCCAUUUGCCUCUGACCCGAGUCAGAACCCACGUGACCAGGCUGUCUCAGAGACGAAGAGAGAAGAUGCUCCCCUGAAUCCAGCGAACUCGACAACAGAGGCUUCCGAGCUCCAGGCUGAGCCGGACAUCAGCAGGAAUCUAAUGUCCUCUGCUGUCUUCCUGGGUGGAAUUGUCUCCCUGUCUAUAGUGCUCCAGGAACCCAGUACCCUCUUCUUCAUGGGACUGCUUCUAGUCUUGCAGCGCUUGUGAUCAUGUCAGUCUUAACGCAUCACAUACCUGUAAAAGCGUAUCGCACGAGAGCUCCAAAAACGGAUUCACAAGCUUCCUCACUGCCCUCUAGUGGCCGUAUGCAGUAUUUCAAUAAAGCUGAAUGGGCAACGUAAAUAAACCUGCUGGAUGGAGAGAAAAAACAUGACGCCCUCAUAUUGUUUGCACAAAUAUCAGCCAUAUUUGCGUCGUGUGUGUGGCUUCACGCCCCAGUAAUGCACGUUCAACGCUAUCUUGAGUUUGCAAUAGCAAAAAAUUGGGACAAAACGUCACGGUUGGCAGAAAUUUGGCUGUGCUGUGUGUGUGGGCAGCCCCAUGUGUGUUUUCCAGCCUGUGCUGCACAGCCUUUGGCUCCCGGUGACAUCGCCAGCACAAGAUGGCGGCACCCACGUCCUAUUGCUCAAUGGUUCCACGUUUGUCCUGCAGCAGGAAGUAGCGAUAUAUUCUAAGUGCCUCAUGAUUCCAAACUAAGCCAGUAUAGAAACCCAGAAACACACACGUGUAGAUAUGGACCACUGUGAGUUUAAUUGAGAUCCCUGAUUUCAUCCGACGGCGGAGAUAUUUGUUGAUUUUUAGUGUUGAUGGAGACGGUAUGACACAAAUCCUGGCGAUAUUUUCAAGUGUUAAACAAUAAGUCGUUUCUAAUGGUGUGUAUAGGUGGCCUGUGUGUGUGUGUGUGUGUGUGUGUGUGUUAGAUUCAGUCAGUAAUGUUCUCAUUACAACUUUGAGCUUGUUGCUAGUUGAAUUCCACGCGCUGCCACGUCUUUACGAAGAAAAGAACCACUGAAGACACUUGUUACGCUGUUGUUGCCUUAAUGUGUGGAAAAAGAUUUCUCACUCGAGCACCAGCUUCCUUCACAUUUCCUCACUAUUGCACACAAAGUCUUCCUCCUGGUCCUCACUAGUUAGUGUUUGUGAAGCCGUGUGUGACUCGAUGAAAGUGAAAUUAAAGAGAACCCUGUAAGCAGCACUGUAAC
rnacentral:lncRNA from 1 species